CAUGUACAGAUCCAGUCUAGGUGAAAUGAAAUAUAUGAAAAUUGUUCUUAUAUGGCUAGAAGCACAAAGAUUUUAGUUUCUUUUUCAAUGUAUGACAUCUAUUAUGUGUAUGUAAAGAAAAUAGAGUGCAGCUAGUUCACAGAUAAACUAUGCAGUACUGGUGGUAAAAGAAGACUAAAAAAAAUUUAGUUCUUGGGGACUUGUGAUUGUGGUAGUAAGUACCCUCCGUUCUUCUCCUUCUUUCUUUGUUUCCACCUUCUCAUUCUUUUUCCUUUCUUUUUCUUUCUCUCUCUCUCUUUUUUUCUUUUCUUUUCUUUUCUUUUCUUUUCUUUUCUUUUCUUUUCUUUUCUUUUCUUAAAAAAAAGACACGUGCAUGUUGUUUUUAGCUUGAAAAAUGCUAAUGAAAAAUCAACUAAUUAUCAAACCUGGAAAAUGUUUACUUUGGGGGAAAAUCUUUUAAAAUAGAAUUUCUAUUUUUUGGCAGUUCACUUUUUAAAUGGGUUAUUUAAUCUAUACUUCUACAGCACACAGCUUAUUGCAUUUUAUAUGGUUAUAUUGAAAUUACAUGAACUGGGGCACCUAAGGGAAUGUUUAUGUUUCAGAAAAAAAAUUGGGCUGGAUUGAAAUGCAGCAUGAAUCAUAAGAGUUUAGAAGCACAUGAAGAUGAAUGUGUCCCUAGUGACUCAACAGAGAACAUCUGUCACAGGAUUACCCCAGGUUGCAGUGAGCAGAGGUCUGGAGUGGGGUGGCAUCUAUGCAGGUCUACACGAUGCAUGCUGCAGGUAUGUACUGCUCAGCUCUUCCCCAGCCCUUUGUUCUCUCCAUACUUCUUAUAUCCACCUUCAUGUGUUCUCAUGUUUUCUCAUGCCCCUCAUGUUUUCUCUUUCUUUCUCCUUUAGUUCCUUCAUCCUUUUCAGCUGUGUUAUGUACCUGAAUGAACAGUUGGUUGAGAUGAUUAGAAGAACGGGUGAGAGGGGAACAUGAAAGCUAGGGAGAGGAAAAUUAUUACUUCUCAGUGUGUAACAUUUAUUAGUAUGUGUAACUCAUAAUAGUGUUCUGUUGUUAUUCCCAAAUUUCUGAAGCUUGCACCACUGCUCUCAAGGUGUUCCCAGCUUUCCAAAUACAUGUGAGCCUUGCAUUUGAAUGGUUUGUGGCAAAUUUGCUUUUUUACAAUGUUCUCCUUUUAAGAGCAAAUGAGAAGAAGCAGCUCAGAUUACUUCAAACUGAUAUUUAUUUAUUUAUUCAUUCAUUCAUUCUGAAGACUGAGUUACAGGGCUUUGAGUACCUACCAUCUAGAACUGUUGCAGGGAAAAAGUGUUUUCAGAGACUUCUGAAUCGACUGGUAUUCACAGUACAGGGAGUUCUGAAUCAACUGGUAUUCACAGUACAGCAGUGAAUGUUUCAAAUAAGUGCUUUGGGUUAGUCACCUACCACACCACAAAAUCCUUUUAUUUGAUAUAAUAUAAAAAACAGAAGCAAAAACAACAAGGAAAGGAUGUUAAUAGUGAUACAGGCUGAGAGAAAUGUUUUUGUUAUUACAGGACUGGAGGUAGAUUUGGAUACUGGCAUCCUGUCUGGAAGCUUGUGCUGUCAACUGGCUAACUGGCUAACUGAAUUCAGAGUAGAAUAGGUAAGUACAUAUACUGUGGUCGACCUUUAUGCAAAAAUACCUAAGAAGACAUGGGGUCAAACUGUGAACUGAAAUUGAGUACAAGUUAACAAUAAUAAAAACACUACGGUAGCAAAUUAAAUAUCUUGA
rnacentral:lncRNA from 1 species